rnacentral:rRNA from 1 species
UGUUUCGGCUAGGGGGUCAUCCCGACUUACCAACCCGAUGCAAACUACGAAUACCGAAGAAUGUUAUCACGGGAGACACACGGCGGGUGCUAACGUCCGUCGUGAAGAGGGAAACAACCCAGACCGCCAGCUAAGGUCCCAAAGUCAUGGUUAAGUGGGAAACGAUGUGGGAAGGCACAGACAGCCAGGAUGUUGGCUUAGAAGCAGCCAUCAUUUAAAGAAAGCGUAAUAGCUCACUGGUCGAGUCGGCCUGCGCGGAAGAUGUAACGGGGCUAAACCAUGCACCGAAGCUGCGGCAGCGACACUAUGUGUUGUUGGGUAGGGGAGCGUUCUGUAAGCCUGCGAAGGUGACCUGUGAGGGUUGCUGGAGGUAUCAGAA